AAUGAACGUUGGCGGCGUGGAUUAGGCAUGCAAGUCGCGCGACAAGGAACCUUCGGGUUCUGGAGGAGCGGCAAACGGGGUAGUAAGGCAUCGGAACGUACCCUCUUGUUGGGAAUAGCCGCGGGAAACUGCGAGUAAUGCCCAAUAAUCCCUACGGGGCAAAGGUCCGCCGCAGGAGGAGCGGCCGAUGUGAUACCAGCUAGUUGGUGAGGUAAUGGCUCACCAAGGCUUAGACGUCUAGGGGGUGUGAGAGCAUGGCCCCCACCACUGGGACGUGAGAUACUGCCCACGACACCUACGGGUGGGCUGCAGUCGAG
rnacentral:rRNA from 1 species